rnacentral:rRNA from 1 species
GAUGAGCAUGCGUCCCAUUAGCUAGAUGGUAAGGUAACGGCUUACCAUGGCUACGAUGGGUAGGGGUCCUGAGAGGGAGAUCCCCCACACUGGUACUGAGACACGGACCAGACUCCUACGGGAGGCAGCAGUGAGGAAUAUUGGACAAUGGGCGCAAGCCUGAUCCAGCCAUGCCGCGUGCAGGAUGACGGUCCUAUGGAUUGUAAACUGCUUUUGCACAGGAAGAAACAACGCUACGUGUAGCGUCUUGACGGUACUGUGAGAAUAAGGAUCGGCUAACUCCGUGCCAGCAGCCGCGGUAAUACGGAGGAUCCAAGCGUUAUCCGGAAUCAUUGGGUUUAAAGGGUCCGUAGGCGGUUUAGUAAGUCAGUGGUGAAAGCCCAUCGCUCAACGGUGGAACGGCCAUUGAUACUGCUAGACUUGAAUUAUUAGGAAGUAACUAGAAUAUGUAGUGUAGCGGUGAAAUGCUUAGAGAUUACAUGGAAUACCAAUUGCGAAGGCAGGUUACUACUAAUUGAUUGACGCUGAU